UAUGAUAAUGACGAUUCAUCGCUUUCAAGGCAGGAGAGUGAAGAAGAAAAAAAAUUAUAUAAGAAACCUAUUAUUUUGGAUAUAGGAAUGGCAGAAACCAAGGCUGGUUUUGCUGGUUGUAGAGCUCCAAAAGUUGUUAUUCCAACAUUAGUUGGACGGCCAAGACAUCAAGGUGUAAUGGUUGGAAUGGGGCAGAAAGAUGCUUAUGUUGGUAAUGAAGCAUUGUCUAAAAGAGGCAUAUUAACUUUAUUAAGCCCUUUUAAAUUAG
rnacentral:lncRNA from 1 species